UUGUAAGGAAAUCUGGGCUGGGAGCUCAGGAGCCUAGGCUUUCUCAGAAUUCAGUGCUUAAGGUGAUGAGUCCUUCGUUCUUAUAGAAAGAGCAUUUUAUCAAGGGCCUGCCAGAAUACCACGUGGUGGGUCCAGUCCGAGUAGAUGCCAGUGGGCAUUUUUUGUCAUAUGGCUUGCACUAUCCCAUCACGAGCAGCAGGAGGAAGAGAGAUUUGGAUGGCUCAGAGGACUGGGUGUACUACAGAAUUUCUCACGAGGAGAAGGACCUGUUUUUUAACUUGACAGUCAAUCAAGGAUUUCUUUCCAAUAGCUACAUCAUGGAGAAGAGAUAUGGGAACCUCUCCCGUGUUAAGAUGAUGGCUUCCUCCGCCUCCCUCUGCCAUCUCAGUGGCACAGUUCUACAGCAGGGCACCAGAGUUGGGACGGCAGCCCUCAGUGCCUGCCAUGGACUGGUGAGUGCGGGCUCUGGCAUCUCCUUCCUCUGCCCUGGCCCCUAGAGUCUCAGCUGGUAGACCUACUACCAACAGGUUCACAGAUGCACUGACAUAUGGGAGUUGAGCCCCUGUGAUGUGAUGAUCCUGGCCUCCAAAGGGGUUGGCGAGAAAGUAUUUAAUAAACAAAAGAGAUCGACUUGAGAGAUACAAAGAGUAAGGGCACUGAGGGUUCAGAGGACGCAGACAGAACUCCAACCAGCAACAUCAGGGUGG
rnacentral:sRNA from 1 species